rnacentral:rRNA from 1 species
UGGCGGGGGAGCACUGCAACCUGAGGAUUGUGCGGUUUAAUUGGAUUCAACGCCGGAAAACUCACCAUGGCCGACGGACAAAUGAAAGCCAGUGUAACGAGCUUGCUGGAUUGUUCGAGAGGUAUUGCAUGGCCGUCGUCAGUUCGUACCGCAAGGCGUUCUGUUAAGUCAGAUAACGAACGAGACCCUCAUCCCUAUUUGCCAGCUGCGUCCCCGGACGCAACGCACUAUAGGGAGACCGCUGUCGAUAAGGCAGAUGAAGGCGAGGGCAACGGUAGGUCAGUAUGAUCCGAAUGCCAUGGGCUACACGCGCAAUACAAAGGACGGGACAAUGGGCUGCAACUCCGAGAGGAAAGACGCUAUCCCGAAACCCGUUCGUAGUUCGGAUUGAGGGCUGUAACUCGCCCUCAUGAAGCUGGAUUAGGUAGUAAUCGCGUCUCAAUAGGGCGCGGUGAAUAUGCCCCUGCUCCUUGCACACACCGCCCGUCAAACCAUCUUAGUUGGGGGUGGGUGAGGCUGCCUUAACCAUGGGGUAUUCGAGCCUGCCUUCGACAAGGAGGGUUAAGUCGUAACAAGGUA